rnacentral:misc_RNA from 1 species
GUGAAUCAUCAAAUUUUUGAACGCAAAUUGCACUCUCUUCGGAGAGUAUGCCUGUUUGAGGGUCAGCCUAAAAAAAAUCGACAUAGUUGCUGUUUCGCGGUGACAUUCGUCGGAAAUUGGUUAAUCUUAAACCUUGGGGUUUUAGGCGGCUUAAAUUUUUUUUUACGAUUCAACGACGGUUUUUAAGAUUUACUUUUUACUUU